CCAGUAAGAAGCUUCCAUUAAAAUAACACUGUUCUAGUCCAGUUUAGCUAAAGUUUUGAACAAAAAUGUUUUGUUUUGGCACGCUAGAACCCCUCCCAUAAAACAUCAAAGCAAGGACAAAGGCUACCGUGGACCAGUUUCACAGGUGAUUUAUGGUGGAUCAUGUUUAUUAACCGUUGAAUUCAUCUAAGAUUCACAAUCUUAUCCUGCGUCCAUUGCACCAAAUUAGCCCUCAAGACAGUCUCUUCCUCUUUCGAGGCCAAACUGCCAUAACCUGCAACGCCGGACCUCCGUGAGCCGCUUUGACAUCUUCGCCGACGCCGACGUGUCUUGCUUCUCCUGCCAUCAAUUCCCCUUCCUGUGUUGUAACUUGCGAACUUGGAAAACCCCUCCAUGUGUGGCUUCUGUGAUUUGCUAACUGAGAUUUUGGCUUCUUGGAAGUGGAUCUGAACAGAUCUGCAACUUUUUUUUGCUUGAACAAAAAAUCGCCGCUGCCGGAAAUUGUCUUCAGCGGCGAUGCAAGGUGGUCCCGAGAGGUUGAUGGAAAAGGAGAAAAAAGAAAUAAUGUAGAGUUGAGGGUAUACAAUAAUAAUGUGGGGAUAAGAUUAAACUAACAGUCAGGAUUUGUGGGUGCACCAUAAAUCUCAC
rnacentral:lncRNA from 1 species